rnacentral:misc_RNA from 1 species
AAAAGACAAAAAUAAAAAAGGUAAAAAAAUCAUAAAACCAGAUUAACAAUUUGAGAACGAAAGGAAAGAAGGAGCCGAACUCAGGAAUAGCCGAAUAGGAAGAUGAUAAAAAUAAAAAAUAAUAAAAAAAAGUACAAGUGCUGAGGUUGGGAUUCAAACCCCAGCGAAAGAUGCCUUAACAUAAAAAAAACAUAGUGGAACCCUGUGUUUUCUAUAGAAACAUCUUAUACUUGUUUUCUGAAAGUAGUUGGACCUUUAGAGAACUGAAAAAUUAGUUUUCAAUUUUCUUUUUACAAAAAUGUUAAUAUUUGAACAAUACUCUUUUUUUCAGUUUUCUUAAAAAAAAAAAAAUCCAGAAAAAAAGAUUUUUUUUUUUUUAAACAAAUAAACACACCCUAAGGUUUCCUUUUACUACUAUAUCCCAGGCCAUAAAAUUGCCCAUUUACCACUUGACAUUGCUAAAGCAGCCAGCACAUAUAAAAAGAACUUCUCAGAUAGUUAUCACAACCACAAAGGGAUCUUGGAAUUAGGCACAAGGUGCAGAACGACUAAGUGAAAUGAGGUGCAAAAGAAUAACUAAUCCUAUGGAAGCCAACUCACAUUAAUAACAUAAAUGUUUUAGGAUUUCAGUGCAAAUGAUUUCAGUAUCUAAAUAAAAAAUAAAACUAAAAGAUGUUAAAACUCUUAAAUCAUAUCCUAAAUUCCUAAAUUGUAAUAAUUCCAAGUAAAACCAUAAGAAAAAUACUCAUCAUCAAAAGUAAAUAACUUAGUGUUUUUCUUUGUGACAAAAUAAAUAUGUUGCAUGCUGUCAAUCUAACCUCUUUUCUUUCCUU